rnacentral:rRNA from 1 species
UAGAGAUUCUUACGGGAUCUUGAGAGCGGCGUACGGGUGCGGAACACGUGUGCAACCUGCCUUUAUCUGGGGGAUAGCCUUUCGAAAGGAAGAUUAAUACCCCAUAAUAUACUGGAUGGCAUCAUUCGGUAUUGAAAACUCCGGUGGAUAGAGAUGGGCACGCGCAAGAUUAGAUAGUUGGUGAGGUAACGGCUCACCAAGUCUGCGAUCUUUAGGGGGCCUGAGAGGGUGAUCCCCCACACUGGUACUGAGACACGGACCAGACUCCUACGGGAGGCAGCAGUGAGGAAUAUUGGACAAUGGGUGAGAGCCUGAUCCAGCCAUCCCGCGUGAAGGACGACGGCCCUAUGGGUUGUAAACUUCUUUUGUAUAGGGAUAAACCUACUCUCGUGAGAGUAGCUGAAGGUACUAUACGAAUAAGCACCGGCUAACUCCGUGCCAGCAGCCGCGGUAAUACGGAGGGUGCAAGCGUUAUCCGGAUUUAUUGGGUUUAAAGGGUCCGUAGGCGGAUCUGUAAGUCAGUGGUGAAAUCUCACAGCUUAACUGUGAAACUGCCAUUGAUACUGCAGGUCUUGAGUGUUGUUGAAGUAGCUGGAAUAAGUAGUGUAGCGGUGAAAUGCAUAGAUAUUACUUAGAACACCAAUUGCGAAGGCAGGUUACUAAGCAACAACUGACGCUGAUGGACGAAAGCGUGGGGAGCGAACAGGAUUAGAUACCCUGGUAGUCCACGCCGUAAACGAUGCUAACUCGUUUUUGGGUUUUCGGAUUCAGAGACUAAGCGAAAGUGAUAAGUUAGCCACCUGGGGAGUACGUUCGCAAGAAUGAAACUCAAAGGAAUUGACGGGGGCCCGCACAAGCGGUGGAUUAUGUGGUUUAAUUCGAUGAUACGCGAGGAACCUUACCAAGGCUUAAAUGGGAAAUGACAGGUUUAGAAAUAGACUUUUCUUCGGACAUUUUUCAAGGUGCUGCAUGGUUGUCGUCAGCUCGUGCCGUGAGGUGUUUAGGUUAAGUCCUGCAACGAGCGCAACCCCUGUCACUAGUUGCCAUCAUUAAGUUGGGGACUCUAGUGAGACUGCCUAC